GACGAACCGUACGAACGUUAUUCGGAAUUACUGGGCUUAAAGGGUUUGUAGGCGGCCUUGUAAGUCAGGUGUGAAAUCCCUCGGCUCAACCGAGGAAUGGCGCUUGAUACUGCAAGGCUUGAGGGAGACAGGGGUAAGCGGAACUGAUGGUGGAGCGGUGAAAUGCGUUGAUAUCAUCAGGAACACCGGUGGCGAAGGCGGCAUCCUGGACCGGUAUUGACGCUGAGGCGCGAAAGCUAGGGUAGCAAACGGG
rnacentral:rRNA from 1 species